rnacentral:rRNA from 1 species
GAUGAACGCUGGCGGCGUGCCUAAUACAUGCAAGUCGAGCGAACAGACGAGGAGCUUGCUCCUCUGACGUUAGCGGCGGACGGGUGAGUAACACGUGGAUAACCUACCUAUAAGACUGGGAUAACUUCGGGAAACCGGAGCUAAUACCGGAUAAUAUAUUGAACCGCAUGGUUCAAUAGUGAAAGACGGUUUUGCUGUCACUUAUAGAUGGAUCCGCGCCGCAUUAGCUAGUUGGUAAGGUAACGGCUUACCAAGGCAACGAUGCGUAGCCGACCUGAGAGGGUGAUCGGCCACACUGGAACUGAGACACGGUCCAGACUCCUACGGGAGGCAGCAGUAGGGAAUUUUGCGCAAUGGGCGAAAGCCUGACGGAGCAACGCCGCGUGAGUGAUGAAGGUCUUCGGAUCGUAAAACGCUGUUAUUAGGGAAGAACAAAUGUGUAAGUAACUAUGCACGUCUUGACGGUACCUAAUCAGAAAGCCACGGCUAACUACGUG